CAUGUCAGCGCGCUUUGCUGACGUGGCAACAAAUCGCCCCCUUGUGGACGCGAUUUGUUGCCACGUUAGCAAAGUGCGCUGACGUGA
rfam:Gossypium hirsutum cultivar TM-1 chromosome 18, whole genome shotgun sequence